CGGCCCGGUAGACUAUCGAUGCAGCAUCGUCCAUUUCUACGAUUCAAUGCAUCAAUUAUUUGAUUCAUUUUAACACCUCUAUUUUAGGUAUUAGUGUUU